rnacentral:rRNA from 1 species
GGAAUUAUUGGGCGUAAAGAGCUCGUAGGCGGUGUGUCACGUCUGCUGUGAAAAUCCAAGGCUCAACCUUGGACUUGCAGUGGGUACGGGCACACUCGAGUGCGGUAGGGGAGAUUGGAAUUCCUGGUGUAGCGGUGGAAUGCGCAGAUAUCAGGAGGAACACCGAUGGCGAAGGCAGAUCUCUGGGCCGUAACUGACGCUGAGGAGCGAAAGCGUGGGGAGCGAACAGGAUUAGAUACCCUGGUAGUCCACGCCGUAAACGGUGGGAACUAGAUGUGGGGUCCGUUCCACGGAUUCCGUGUCGCAGCUAACGCAUUAAGUUCCCCGCCUGGGGAGUACGGCCGCAAGGCUAAAACUCAAAGGAAUUGACGGGGGCCCGCACAAGCGGCGGAGCAUGCGGAUUAAUUCGAUGCAACGCGAAGAACCUUACCAAGGCUUGACAUAUAGAGGAAAAGUGCAGAGAUGCACUCCCCGCAAGGUCUCUAUACAGGUGGUGCAUGGCU